CCUCAGUACACUGAAGAUCUAAGAAAACACUUCACACCCUACAACCCCUAAAAAUAACCCAGAUUUGACAGCAGUGCACACCCAUCUGAGGCCUACCUGUUUUACUUCAUGAUCACCCA